GACGAAGGAUCCAAGCGUUAUCCGGAUUCAUUGGGUUUAAAGGGUGCGUAGGCGGGUUUGUAAGUCAGUGGUGAAAGCUAUCAGCUUAACUGAUAAAUUGCCAUUGAUACUGCAGACCUAGAAUAUAGAUGACGUUGGCGGAAUAUGACAUGUAGCGGUGAAAUGCAUAGAUAUGUCAUAGAACACCGAUUGCGAAGGCAGCUGACGAAACUAUAAUUGACGCUGAUGCACGAAAGUGCGGGGAUCAAACAGG
rnacentral:rRNA from 1 species